AACGGGGCUAAACCAUGCACCGAAGCUGCGGCAGCGACACUGUGUGUUGUUGGGUAGGGGAGCGUUCUGUAAGCCUGUGAAGGUGUGCUGUGAGGCAUGCUGGAGGUAUCAGAAGUGCGAAUGCUGACAUAAGUAACGAUAAAGCGGGUGAAAAGCCCGCUCGCCGGAAGACCAAGGGUUCCUGUCCAACGUUAAUCGGGGCAGGGUGAGUCGACCCCUAAGGCGAGGCCGAAAGGCGUAGUCGAUGGGAAACAGGUUAAUAUUCCUGUACUUGGUGUUACUGCGAAGGGGGGACGGAGAAGGCUAUGUUGGCCGGGCGACGGUUGUCCCGGUUUAAGCGUGUAGGCUGGUUUUCCAGGCAAAUCCGGAAAAUCAAGGCUGAGGCGUGAUGACGAGGCACUACGGUGCUGAAGCAACAAAUGCCCUGCUUCCAGGAAAAGCCUCUAAGCAUCAGGUAACAUCAAAUCGUACCCCAAACCGACACAGGUGGUCAGGUAGAGAAUACCAAGGCGCUUGAGAGAACUCGGGUGAAGGAACUAGGCAAAAUGGUGCCGUAACUUCGGGAGAAGGCACGCUGAUAUGUAGGUGAAGUCCCUCGCGGAUGGAGCUGAAAUCAGUCGAAGAUACCAGCUGGCUGCAACUGUUUAUUAAAAACACAGCACUGUGCAAACACGAAAGUGGACGUAUACGGUGUGACGCCUGCCCGGUGCCGGAAGGUUAAUUGAUGGGGUCAGCGCAAGCGAAGCUCUUGAUCGAAGCCCCGGUAAACGGCGGCCGUAACUAUAACGGUCCUAAGGUAGCGAAAUUCCUUGUCGGGUAAGUUCCGACCUGCACGAAUGGCGUAAUGAUGGCCAGGCUGUCUCCACCCGAGACUCAGUGAAAUUGAACUCGCUGUGAAGAUGCAGUGUACCCGCGGCAAGACGGAAAGACCCCGUGAACCUUUACUAUAGCUUGACACUGAACAUUGAGCCUUGAUGUGUAGGAUAGGUGGGAGGCUUUGAAGUGUGGACGCCAGUCUGCAUGGAGCCGACCUUGAAAUACCACCCUUUAAUGUUUGAUGUUCUAACGUGGACCCGUGAUCCGGGUUGCGGACAGUGUCUGGUGGGUAGUUUGACUGGGGCGGUCUCCUCCUAAAGAGUAACGGAGGAGCACGAAGGUUGGCUAAUCCUGGUCGGACAUCAGGAGGUUAGUGCAAUGGCAUAAGCCAGCUUGACUGCGAGCGUGACGGCGCGAGCAGGUGCGAAAGCAGGUCAUAGUGAUCCGGUGGUUCUGAAUGGAAGGGCCAUCGCUCAACGGAUAAAAGGUACUCCGGGGAUAACAGGCUGAUACCGCCCAAGAGUUCAUAUCGACGGCGGUGUUUGGCACCUCGAUGUCGGCUCAUCACAUCCUGGGGCUGAAGUAGGUCCCAAGGGUAUGGCUGUUCGCCAUUUAAAGUGGUACGCGAGCUGGGUUUAGAACGUCGUGAGACAGUUCGGUCCCUAUCUGCCGUGGGCGCUGGAGAACUGAGGGGGGCUGCUCCUAGUACGAGAGGACCGGAGUGGACGCAUCACUGGUGUUCGGGUUGUCAUGCCAAUGGCACUGCCCGGUAGCUAAAUGCGGAAGAGAUAAGUGCUGAAAGCAUCUAAGCACGAAACUUGCCCCGAGAUGAGUUCUCCCUGACCCUUUAAGGGUCCUGAAGGAACGUUGAAGACGACGACGUUGAUAGGCCGGGUGUGUAAGCGCAGCGAUGCGUUGAGCUAACCGGUACUAAUGAACCGUGAGGCUUAACCUU
rnacentral:rRNA from 1 species